rnacentral:rRNA from 1 species
GCGAGUGAGCGGCAAAAGCUCAAAUUUGAAAUCUGGCACUUUCAGUGUCCGAGUUGUAAUUUGAAGAAGGUAUCUUUGGGUCUGGCUCUUGUCUAUGUUUCUUGGAACAGAACGUCACAGAGGGUGAGAAUCCCGUGCGAUGAGAUGACCCAGACCUAUGUAAAGUUCCUUCGAAGAGUCGAGUUGUUUGGGAAUGCAGCUCUAAGUGGGUGGUAAAUUCCAUCUAAAGCUAAAUAUUGGCGAGAGACCGAUAGCGAACAAGUACAGUGAUGGAAAGAUGAAAAGAACUUUGAAAAGAGAGUGAAAAAGUACGUGAAAUUGUUGAAAGGGAAGGGCUUGAGAUCAGACUUGGUAUUUUGCAUGUUACUCUCUCGGGGGUGGCCGCUGCAGUUUACCGGGCCAGCAUCAGUUUGGGCGGUAGGAUAAUUGCAGAGAAAUGUGGCACUGCCUCGGUAGUGUGUUAUAGUCUUUGUCGAUACUGCCAGCCUAGACUGAGGACUGCGGCUUCGGCCUAGGAUGUUGGCAUAAUGAUCUUAAGUCGCCC